rnacentral:tRNA from 1 species
AAUGGGAUGGCUGAAAGUAGGUGAUAAAUUGUAAAUUUAUUUAAGGUUGAAUACCUCUCAUUA